rnacentral:rRNA from 1 species
CCUUACGGGGUGCAGCAGGCGCGAAACCUCUGCAAUAGGCGAAAGCUUGACAGGGUUACUCUGAGUGAUUUCCGUUAAGGAGAUCUUUUGGCACCUCUAAAAAUGGUGCAGAAUAAGGGGUGGGCAAGUCUGGUGUCAGCCGCCGCGGUAAUACCAGCACCCCGAGUGGUCGGGACGAUUAUUGGGCCUAAAGCAUCCGUAGCCGGUACUGCAAGUCUUCCGUUAAAUCCACCUGCUUAACAGUUGGGCUGCGGGGGAUACUACAGCGCUAGGAGGCGGGAGAGGCAAGCGGUACUCGAUGGGUAGGGGUAAAAUCCGUUGAUCCAUUGAAGACCACCAGUGGCGAAGGCGGCUUGCCAGAACGCGCUCGACGGUGAGGGAUGAAAGCUGGGGGAGCAAACCGGAUUAGAUACCCGGGUAGUCCCAGCUGUAAACGAUGCAGACUCGGUGAUGGGCCGGCUUUAUGCCAGCUCAGUGCCGCAGGGAAGCCGUUAAGUCUGCCGCCUGGGGAGUACGGUCGCAAGACUGAAACUUAAAGGAAUUGGCGGGGGAGCAC